UACGUAGGGGGCAAGCGUUGUCCGGAAUCAUUGGGCGUAAAGAGCGUGUAGGCGGCCCGGUAAGUCCGCUGUGAAAGUCCAGGGCUCAACCCUGGGAUGCCGGUGGAUACUGUCGGGCUCGAGUCCGGAAGAGGAGUGUGGAAUUCCUGGUGUAGCGGUGAAAUGCGCAGAUAUCAGGAGGAACACCAAUGGCGAAGGCAGCACUCUGGGACGUGACUGACGCUGAGACGCGAAAGCGGGGGGAGCAAACAGG
rnacentral:rRNA from 1 species